UACGUAGGUGGCAAGCGUUGUCCGGAUUUACUGGGCGUAAAGAGCGCGCAGGCGGUCGUUCAAGUCGCGUGUGAAAGCCCCCGGCUCAACUGGGGAGGGUCACGCGAUACUGAUCGACUCGAAGGCAGGAGAGGGAAGUGGAAUUCCCGGUGUAGUGGUGAAAUGCGUAGAUAUCGGGAGGAACACCAGUGGCGAAGGCGACUUCCUGGCCUGCUCUUGACGCUGAGGCGCGAAAAGCUAGGGGGAGCAAACGGGG
rnacentral:rRNA from 1 species